rnacentral:rRNA from 1 species
AUACGGAGGAUGCGAGCGUUAUCCGGAUUUAUUGGGUUUAAAGGGUGCGUAGGCUGUUGUGUAAGUCAGGGGUGAAAUGCCGUCGCUCAACGACGGAGCUGCCUUUGAUACUGCAUGGCUGGAGUGCGGAUGCCGUUGGAGGAAUGAGUGGUGUAGCGGUGAAAUGCUUAGAUAUCACUCAGAACACCGAUUGCGAAGGCAUCUGACGAAUCCGUAACUGACACUGAGGCACGAAAGCGUGGGGAUAGAACAGGAUUAGAUACCCUGGUAUUCCACGCCGUAAACGAUGAUGACUAACCGUCGGCGAUAGACAGCCGGUGGCCAAGCGAAAGCGAUAAGUCAUCCACCUGGGGAGUACGUCGGCAACGAUGAAACUCAAAGGAAUUGACGGGG